GGUGGUGUUAGCUCAGUGGUUAACAUAUAGGAGCUCUGAUCUGAAGGUUGUGAGUUCAAAUCCCAGCACCACCA